rnacentral:tRNA from 1 species
GUGGUAGCUCAAUGGUAGAGCCUGUGCCUAGCAUGUAUAAGGCACUGGGUUCGAUUCUCAGUGCCACA